rnacentral:rRNA from 1 species
AUUGAACGCUGGCGGCAGGCCUAAUACAUGCAAGUCGAACGGUAACAUAAAAGAAGCUUGCUUCUUUUGAUGACGAGUGGCGGACGGGUGAGUAAUAUUUGGGAAACUACCUGAUAGAGGGGGACAACAGUUGGAAACGACUGCUAAUACCGCAUAUAGCCUAAGGGUGAAAGCAGCAAUGCGCUAUCAGAUGUGCCCAAACGGGAUUAGCUAGUAGGUGAGGUAAAGGCUCACCUAGGCGACGAUCUCUAGCUGGUCUGAGAGGAUGAUCAGCCACAUUGGGACUGAGACACGGCCCAGACUCCUACGGGAGGCAGCAGUAGGGAAUAUUGCACAAUGGAGGAAACUCUGAUGCAGCCAUGCCGCGUGUGUGAAGAAGGCCUUCGGUUGUAAAGCACUUUCGGAGGGAGGGAAAAGGAAUGACGUACCUCAGAAGGAGCACCGGCUAACUACCGUGCCA